GUUUUAACAGGCUGGGUAACAGAAACCAGUACCAACUUGCUAGGUGGCCAAGGAGGCCCUGCACUGUGUUCCACUCCCACAGGUUCUGGGUUGGGAGCCUGCCGACCUGGCGCCUUCUCGUCAUUCGACCCACAGCUCUCCCUCUGGACACUUUUCUAGCAGCCCGUGGGGCUCCGACAGGAACACAGUACCAGUCUUUCACCUGGAGGCCUGCUCUCCUCCACUUUCUUCGUGUGGUGGGGACUGCCUGGGCCCUGUUCCACUGCGGUUCCCGGGGAAAGGAGACUGAGCACCACCGCUCUGAAGAAGGAUACUGAGGGCUCUGCUGACAGCUCCUCUGCCCUCCCGAUCCGGCCACCUGCCUCCUCAGCAGUACCCCCGGAAGAGCCAGAAGUCUCACAGUGCCAGAUCCAGUGAAUAAGGAGGAUGAAGACAAAUCACCAUGUUUUAUGAGCCCACCUUUCCGUUGGAUGGCCCUCAGAAGCAGCAUGCACUGUGUUUUUGAUCACAC
rnacentral:lncRNA from 1 species